UAAUUUCAAUAUUAUUUAUAUAUUUUUGAUAUGCUCAUGCAUUUUAUAAAUAUAUUUAUAUACUUAGUUAAAUACAUUAGGAGUAUUCUUAUUGUUGCAUAUUUAUUUAUUGAUAAUUACUUAUAUUUGCCGCCCUGGAGAUAAUUUAGAGCUGUGUUUUAUGUUUAUAUAUGAGUGUGUGUGUUGGACAGGUAGUCGCAGUUUGAGUUAGUUUCGCUGGAACCCGAUCCUUAUAAAUAUGUAAAGUUAGGGUGAGGCACUGCUAUGAGUUGAUCUCGCUGGCCUCCGCACAUGGAUUUAAGUGAAAGUCUAGCUUAAGUUGAGCUUACUAGUAAAUCUUGGAAUAAGAGAACUGGAUAGGGAUCAACUCCCAUAGUAUGUAUGGAAAUACUAUUCUAAGUGAAUGUGUAGCUCCAAAUUUUUUUCUUGUGGGAGAAUUGGGUUAUUUGCUUGAUAUAAGUGCUCAGUGUGCAUUUCAUAUUUAGGAUUCUAUUAAUUUUGGAUAGCUAUAGAAAUUAUAUUUAU
rnacentral:misc_RNA from 1 species